rnacentral:antisense_RNA from 1 species
UGUUAUGGACGGGCUGUGUGGGAGGCGGUCACGCCUGCCGGUCACUGUGCCCCGGUCUUGCACACCCAUACAGUCCCGUCCGCCCGU